UCCCCCUCGUGGGACCUAGUGGGCGGAGCUUGAGCUUCUCUGUACUGUGUACUGGCCAUCGGAAUUUACACAAUUUGCAUCGCACGAAAAUUGGUUAAUUCCAUUUCUCCAGCAGGCCAUUGGAACAUGUCUGUACUGACAGAUUUUGAGUUGGCAGGAAUUGAUUGUGGGUAUGAUGUUGAUGGUACUCUGUUAUACUCUCAAGGCCAUUUGAUUUGGCUUUGGUAAGUUUGCAUCCAUUUAUGGUUAUUUGUUAAGCAAGAGGGACUGAGAACCCCAUCAAAAGAAUAAAAAAAUGAUUCAGAUUUUCAGUUGCUAUCUUUAAUCAGUCUGACAUACAAUCAGAACGCCACUUUGCUGGGAAGAUUGAACCGCCAAAGAUUUUAAGAUUUAAGAAUGAAGGAGGAUGAUGCCUUGUUGGCUAUCACAAUUUGUGACUUAUUUAUAAACACAUUAUGUGAAGGUGACAUGGACGAAGAAGAAAUCCGGGCUCCUUUCUUAUUCACUUUUCAGAGACUAGAGGACAUGGAAUUUGCAGGAAAUACGAGACAAAAGAAAUAUCUGUGUGUCUUGUUUCUUCAACCCUGACUAGUGAAUAUUGUGGGAUGUUUUAAAUAUGAUAAAUGAUUGUAUGUAAAUAUCGUUUUCUUUUUGUAAAAUAACAUUAAAAUUCUGUGUGAAAAUAAGUGUUGUGUUCUUGAAAUAUAUUUAUAAUUUUAUAUAUUUUGUAUUAUAUAUUAUAUUUAUUUUAUGUUAGAUGCACAAUUUGCUAAUCAAGGUUAAUAGAAACAAAUAAAUCCAGCAACACUUGUAGGACAGUGGAAUAUGUGACUAUUAAAUUAUACAACUGCCAAAUGUGGAUUGGAUGCCUUACUAGUCUCUGAGCACGUGUUACCAUGUUCAUCUUGGCAAAUCACAAGGCUGGUUUCAGACUACUUUGCUUUGACUGGUUAUGUAUUGAAAUAGCAUAAUGCAUAGCCUACCACGCGAAGGAUGAGUCUAUCCUCAAUUACAGUAAUAUAAUUCCAUUUAAAUGAUUAUAUUUACAAGAUUUUUGGAGUACGUGCAUUCAUAUUUAUAUCCUACGAAUAAAAAACAGAAAGGACAGAUACGGUAACCUAGGCCGAACUUUAUUACACGAAUUAAUCCGGUUAUUUUAAUUCACAUCUAAACCACACGUUAAUGCGAUGGAAAAAAGAAGGAAAGACAUAGUAAGCUUUCACAUUGCCUACUAAGUGUAGUAAUUUACAUCAUGGUAUAGAUGCUUUUAUUUAAAAUGAAGGAAAAUAACGAAAGGAUUCAUCCUAUUAAGAAGAAAAUAUUAUGACAUUUCAUUUUCUGAGAUGGAUACAAAGUUUUCAACAGUUGUAAGAAAACAUACAUAGUUUGGGCAUUAAAUAGUUUUAUUAGUUGUUCACGUAAUGCCGUUUGUCACAGAAACACAUCUGACGUGCUAAAAAAUCAUCAUGAAAAAUGUUAGGGAGUCAAAAAUAGCAACAAAUAUAGCAUUUAGGUCGAGACAGCGGUUUAAGUCUAUGGAAAGAUUUUAUAAAUGUCUCAAAGUUCGGUUCAUCUUCAAUAUACACUUUUCUUGCCGUGCGAAACAAACUGUAUGAGUUCGGACUGUACCUACGCGUGGAUAGCUCAAGCUCCGCCCACUAGGACCAGCGAGGGGGAGCUUGGGCUUUGCUCCACCCCCUUGGCUCUGCAGGGAGUACCACUUGUGUUUUUUGGCAAUUUUAACAAUCAUAGGUAGUUUAGAUGGUCAGAGUAAGGUUAGGGUGUGGUUUAGGGUAAAGGUUUCGUAAGACUUGAAACACCAAGGAUUUAGUGAAACCAACAAGCCACGCCCACGGAUCUGACUCGAAACACCAAGGAUUUACAGCCAUUUGAGCGUUUGCGACAAAAACAUAUAUUAUCUCACUUUCGAUAAUAAAAAGUAUAAUAUGGAAAAAGUUUAAUAAAGAGGAGUCGAAUAAAUUGGCACGUAAUUAAGAAACUCUAUCGUUAAAGUCCCAGUGAAAUUAAAAACGACAAUUCUUAUUUUUUCAUGAAACAUGCAGCGUUUAUAGUAAAUAGCUUAUAAAUGUGGGUCAUUUUCUUUUUAUAAUUCGUGUACCCUCAUAAUCUUCCGUUCAAAUCUGAAAAUGCACUUCUGCCCUGAAAUGACUAUCCAUCUCAAAUGACGUAAACUACCCAGCAAACACGUGUAUGUGGGGCCCACACGGGUUGUAAAUGGGCUACAGGGGUGCAGAAUGGGCAUGGGCUCAAAAUGGGCAUCUUAUCUGGGGCCCACUUGGGUGACCCAGAUAGGACUUACAUGGGUGAACCCAGGGGGGCUCCCCAUGUGGUUUCUAGUUGGGUAAUUAAUGGGAAAUGUGUGCAUGGGUUUAAAAUGGGCUACAGUUAUGUCUUUUCACAAGGAGUAUUAAUGAAUUAAUUUAUUACUUUUUCUAGCCAAAUUUAGUAUCCACAAAUGUACAUUUCGAGGAGACAAACCUAUAUAGUUGUUAAGGUGGAAAUCCUACCUAAUUCAAUGCAAUGUUUAGCAAAUAUAAAUAUAAAAGUAUUUCUGGCUAACAUUUCAAUGUGUUAAUUUAACCUUUUUUAUUUUCUUCUUUUGAUAUUGCUUUGAUUUAAAUAUUGUGGUGUUUGAUUUUUUUAUGUAUUUCCAUAAUGUACCCAACAUUCAUAUUUGAAUUAAAAGGUCUUUGCUGCGCAGAACGAUCGGCGUAUGUCAUCAAAGUACCGCGAGAUGCAGCCCCGGAAGGAUCCCGUGAGAUUUCCUUUAGCAAUUCCCAUCCCCCUACUAAGUUACCUAAAUCGCGCUGGCGGCAUUUUCCUAUCACACGUGCACAGACUCGGCCGUACUUUUGCCUGCAGUUUAUAGAAGGUUGCUUUGGUAGAAGAAAUUGGAGGGAGUACUGUUGAUGAAGCAACAAGAAGAAUGAUGGCCUUCCUUUUUGACCACCCCUUAACAAGAGAGUACAAUUAUGUUGGCCGGCAUGGAAAGCGGGAGUUUCGGGGCCUCAGACUGUUUGAGGUUGUAUAUGGAAGCUUGAAAAAAAAUUCACUUACAAACCAAAUUACAAGAAAAGAUGCAGAAAAGGCUGUCUCAAAGUGGCUAAUCGGUGCCAGGGACAGGGGAGGAAACCGUUCUGCAAGGGCACGUGGAGAACAAGAUAGGGCUGUUUGGAGAGAGAGGACCGAGGAGCUGCACAGAUUUUUUUCCGGUAAAAUGUAUUAAAGGUUUAGGGCUGUUAAGUGUUUAAUUGUGAUUAAUCACAUCCAGAACAAUAAGUUUGUUUCUACAUAAUAUAUGUGUAUGUUUACUAUGCAUAUUGAUUUUGCAUUUAUAAACGUAAAUAUUUCCUAAAUAUAUAUACAUAUAUAUUUGUUUUUAUAUACUUAUAUUUACCAAUAAUUGAAAUUAUACAAGCAUUUAUUAAUGUUCAUAUUUUUCUUAAAAAUACACAUGCAUGUAUGUUUAAGAAUGCAAUGAUACACAGUACACAUACAUAUACUGUAUUAUGUAAAUACAAACUUUUAUUCUGAAUACGAUUAAUCAUUUAACAGCCCAGAUAUACAAGUUAUGCCAAAUGUUUUCAGUAGCUUUAACUUUUUUCAAGAUUCAUGUGUAUUAUAAAGUUGUAAAUGUAGAUAUGUUUUAUAAAGUUGUAAAUGUACAUGUGUUUUAUAAAGUUUAAAUCGUCACAUUUUAUGUAUGUUCAAAUGAAAAGUUAAUUCAAAUAAACUUUGCUAAAAAGCAUGCACU